rnacentral:rRNA from 1 species
GAUUGAACGCUGGCGGUAUGCUUAACACAUGCAAGUCGAACGGAAACGAUACUAGCUUGCUAGUAGGCGUCGAGUGGCGGACGGGUGAGUAACGCGUAGGAAUCUGCCUGAUAGUGGGGGAUAGCCCGAAGAAAUUCGGAUUAAUACCGCAUAAUCUAUUCGUAGUAAAGUGGGGGACUUUCGAGCCUCACGCUAUCAGAUGAGCCUGCGUAAGAUUAGCUUGUUGGUAGGGUAAAAGCCUACCAAGGCGACGAUCUUUAGCUGGUCUGAGAGGAUGAUCAGCCACAUCGGGACUGAGACACGGCCCGAACUCCUACGGGAGGCAGCAGUGGGGAAUAUUGGACAAUGGGGGCAACCCUGAUCCAGCAAUACCGCGUGUGUGAAGAAGGCCUGAGGGUUGUAAAGCACUUUCAAUUGUGAAGAAAAGUUAGCGGUUAAUAACCGUUAGCCUUGACGUUAACUUUAGAAGAAGCACCGGCUAACUCCGUGCCAGCAGCCGCGGUAAUACGGAGGGUGCAAGCGUUAAUCGGAAUUACUGGGCGUAAAGCGUGCGUAGGCGGUUUAUUAAGUCAGAUGUGAAAGCCCCGGGCUUAACCUGGGAACUGCAUUUGAAACUGGUCAACUAGAGUAUGGUAGAGGAAAGUGGAAUUUCUGGUGUAGCGGUGAAAUGCGUAGAUAUCAGAAGGAACAUCAAUGGCGAAGGCAGCUUUCUGGACCAAUACUGACGCUGAGGUACGAAAGCGUGGGUAGCAAACAGGAUUAGAUACCCUGGUAGUCCACGCCGUAAACGAUGAUAACUAGCCGUUGGGGGGAUUUACCCUUUAGUGGCGAAGCUAACGCGUUAAGUUAUCCGCCUGGGGAGUACGGCCGCAAGGUUAAAACUCAAAGGAAUUGACGGGGACCCGCACAAGCGGUGGAGCAUGUGGUUUAAUUCGAUGCAACGCGAAGAACCUUACCUGGUCUUGACAUCCUGCGAACUUUCUAGAAAUAGAUUGGUGCCUUCGGGAACGCAGUGACAGGUGCUGCAUGGCUGUCGUCAGCUCGUGUCGUGAGAUGUUGGGUUAAGUCCCGUAACGAGCGCAACCCCUAUCCUUAUUUGCCAGCACAUCAUGGUGGGAACUAUAAGGAGACUGCCGGUGAUAAACCGGAGGAAGGCGGGGACGACGUCAAGUCAUCAUGGCCCUUACGACCAGGGCUACACACGUGCUACAAUGGGAAGGACAAAGAGCCGCGAAGCCGCGAGGUGUAGCUAAUCUCAUAAACCUUUUCGUAGUCCGGAUUGGAGUCUGCAACUCGACUCCAUGAAGUCGGAAUCGCUAGUAAUCGUAGAUCAGAAUGCUACGGUGAAUACGUUCCCGGGUCUUGUACUCACCGCCCGUCAA